CUGCUUGCUCCUCAAGCCAACUCUCUCCACUUUCCUACUCUGCUUUACGGUUUUGCAUGGAGCAGUGGGCUGUGACAUGGGCCAUGUUCUCCUUCCCUCACUGCACCAGGAGUGAGGCUGCAGAGUGGUCGGUCCUGUGAGCAGUCAGCGUGGGAGCAAGUGCUGCAGCUCUGCAAGCAUGGGCCUUGGUGCAGCAGCAGACGUGCAUUUCCUAGAAGUAUGUGAUGGAGCACAUCCUGGGAUCAAGGUGCCGUGGUCAGGAGAAUCCUGCUCUGGACGUACAGGCUUGGCUGAGUCCGUGUGUGAGGAGCAAACGCUCAGGACCCAAGAAUGUGAAGGCAGAAGAGCAGGGACAUGUGAGGUAUCUAUAGGUGUAUCUGUAUAUCUGCACAGGAGGCCCAGCUGCCCCUGCUCUCCCCCCUCCAUGGGAACUGCCCAUGCUGGCACUCCCGGAGUCUCUUCUGGCAACAGUGACCUGGGGCGAUUCCCCCUCCAUCCGCCCGUGCCCUGCCUGGUGCCCAUCCCCACAGCAAUUCACGGUGCCGGCACGGGCAGCGCAGGCGAGCUGUGUUCAACGCCCUCUGCAUCCCGCUGCACAAAGGAUUGCAGGCAGAGGCCCAGCAGAGUGAGCACAGAAGAUUUUGGAGGGGAGAGCUGGGGCUGGUGGU